rnacentral:rRNA from 1 species
UACAGAGGUCCCGAGCGUUGUUCGGAUUCAUUGGGCGUAAAGGGUGCGUAGGCGGCGGGGAAAGUCUGAUGUGAAAUCCUGGGGCUCAACCCUGGAACUGCAUUGGAUACUUCCUUGCUAGAGUACUGGAGAGGAAACUGGAAUUUACGGUGUAGCAGUGAAAUGCGUAGAGAUCGUAAGGAAGACCAGUGGCGAAGGCGAGUUUCUGGACAGUUACUGACGCUGAGACACGAAAGCCAGGGGAGCGAACGGG